CAGUCGCCGCGGUAAUACGGAGGUGGCUAGCGUUGUUCGGAAUUACUGGGCGUAAAGCGCACGUAGGCGGCUUGGUAAGUUAGAGGUGAAAGCCCGGAGCUCAACUCCGGAAUUGCCUUUAAGACUGCCGAGCUAGUAGGUGAGAGAGGUAAGUGGAAUUCCGAGUGUAGAGGUGAAAUUCGUAGAUAUUCGGAAGAACACCAGUGGCGAAGGCGGCUUACUGGCUCAUUCUAGACGCUGAGGUGCGAAAGCGUGGGGAGCAAACAGGAUUAGAUACCCCUGUAGUCCCUGUCUCUUAUAC
rnacentral:rRNA from 1 species